rnacentral:rRNA from 1 species
UGGCUCAGAUUGAACGCUGGCGGCAGGCUUAACACAUGCAAGUCGAGCGGUAACAGAGAGUAGCUUGCUACUUUGCUGACGAGCGGCGGACGGGUGAGUAAUGCUUGGGAAUAUGCCAUAUGGUGGGGGACAACAGUUGGAAACGACUGCUAAUACCGCAUAACGUCUACGGACCAAAGAGGGGGAUUCUUCGGAACCUCUUGCCAUUUGAUUAGCCCAAGUGAGAUUAGCUAGUUGGUGAGGUAAUGGCUCACCAAGGCGACGAUCUCUAGCUGGUUUGAGAGGAUGAUCAGCCACACUGGGACUGAGACACGGCCCAGACUCCUACGGGAGGCAGCAGUGGGGAAUAUUGCACAAUGGGCGAAAGCCUGAUGCAGCCAUGCCGCGUGUGUGAAGAAGGCCUUCGGGUUGUAAAGCACUUUCAGUUGUGAGGAAAGGUGGGUAGUUAAUAGCUGCUCACUGUGACGUAGCAACAGAAGAAG